UUUAAAUGGCCGCAGUAUAUUAACUGUGCAAAGGUAGCAUAAUCAUUAGUCUUUUAAUUGAAGGCUGGAAUGAAUGGUUGGACGAAAUAUUAACUGUUUCAUUUAAAUUUAUAAUAGAAUUUUAUUUUUUAGUCAAAAAGCUAAAAUUUAAUUAAAAGACGAGAAGACCCUAUAAAUCUUUAUAUUUAUUUUAUUAUAAUUUUGUAGAUUAUUUUUGUUAUAAUAAUUUAUAAUAUUUUAUUGGGGUGAUAUUAAAAUUUAAAUAACUUUUAAUUAAUAAAUUACAUUAAUUAAUGAAUUAUUGAUCCAUUAUUAGUGAUUAAAAAAUUAAGUUACUUUAGGGAUAACAGCGUAAUUUUUUUGGAGAGUUCAUAUCGAAAGAAAAGAUUGCGACCUCGAUGUUGGAUUAAGAGAUAAUUUUAGGUGUAGCCGCUUAAAUUUUAAGUCUGUUCGACUUUUAAUUUCU
rnacentral:rRNA from 1 species